rnacentral:tRNA from 1 species
GCGAGAGUGGCGGAAUUGGCAGACGCACUGGAUUUAGGUUCCAGCGCCGCAAGGCGUGGGGGUUCGAGUCCCCCCUUUCGCA